rnacentral:rRNA from 1 species
UUAACGGAGAGUUUGAUCCUGGCUCAGGACGAACGCUGGCGGCGUGCUUAACACAUGCAAGUCGAGCGGAAAGGCCCUUCGGGGUACUCGAGCGGCGAACGGGUGAGUAACACGUGAGUAACCUG